ACAAAGCAUGAGAAAAUCUAGCCCUAAAGAUAAUGCAUGGAAGAGACUGAGGCUAGGGCUCUUGAAUGGAAUUGGCUGUAGGAACCCUGCAGCGCCGCCAUCUCCAGCAGAACAAAUAUACCUAUCUUAGCUCAGACGUGGUCCACUUUAGACUCUGCACCAGCCUGUUUGUGGCCUGGAUUUGAAGCCCUCGGAUCUGAGGACGCUAGGCCACAGGUGAAGAGUGAAACAUCCACUAACCCCAUGAAGCAUAAGGACUGGGGCACAGUGUCAUCUUGUGGACUACGCAGGAAUCUAACAGGAAAUUGGAUAGAGAGAGAGAGAGAUGGACAGAGGUUACAGCCUGAGUCAGAUACUGAAUCAUGUCUCAUCAUCAGAUUGUUGAUGUAAUUGCUAAGUAAAAGUAUCUCACCAAUACCUGAGACUCUGGUGCAGAUGUAGGGUCAUCUCCACAUUCCAGUGCUGCAUCAGGGCACAGCCUCAUGCCAUCUCUCAGCCAACAUGCCCACCAGUUGAACAGGAUAGAUGCUGGCAUG